rnacentral:rRNA from 1 species
GACAGAGGGUGCAAACGUUGUUCGGAAUUACUGGGCGUAAAGCGCGUGUAGGCGGCUCUGAAAGUCGGAUGUGAAAGCCCUGGGCUCAACCCAGGAAGUGCACUCGAAACUCCCGAGCUGGAGUCCCGGAGAGGAAGGCGGAAUUCUCGGUGUAGAGGUGAAAUUCGUAGAUAUCGAGAGGAACAUCGGUGGCGAAGGCGGCCUUCUGGACGGUGACUGACGCUGAGACGCGAAAGCGUGGGGAGCAAACAGG